rnacentral:rRNA from 1 species
UACAGAGGGGGCAAGCGUUGUUCGGAAUUACUGGGCGUAAAGGGCGCGUAGGCGGCCUUCUAAGUCAGACGUGAAAUCCCCCGGCUUAACCUGGGAACUGCGUCUGAUACUGGGAGGCUUGAGUAUGGGAGAGGGAUGUAGAAUUCCAGGUGUAGCGGUGAAAUGCGUAGAUAUCAGGAGGAACACCGGUGGCGAAGGCGGGUCUCUGGGCCGAUACUGACGCUGAAGCGCGAAAGCUAGGGGAGCAAACAGG